UGCCCAGCCGCCCCCAGCCAAGAAAAGAAAACUAAGAAUCUGUGAAUAUCCAAGCCACCAUUUCAAGGCUCCUCGCCCAGGACAUUGGAAAAAAGAAGCCUUUUACAGAUUGCUGGAAAAAUGUAACAUCAAAGGUUUUCUGAAUACUGAUAGGAGCCUGAGAAUGUCGGACAAGUACUUACUGGCUAUGGUCUACAUCUACUUUGAAAGAGCCAACCUAGCACCAAGCGAAUACGACUGUGUCAAUUUCUUCUG